AGGGAAUAUUGCGCAAUGGAGGAAACUCUGACGCAGCGACGCCGCGUGAGCGAUGAAGGUCUUCGGAUCGUAAAGCUCUGUCCUCAGGGAAGAAGAAAGUGACGGUACCUGAGGAGGGAGCCCCGGCUAACUACGUGCCAGCAGCCGCGGUAAUACGUAGGGGGCAAGCGUUGUCCGGAAUUAUUGGGCGUAAAGGGUGCGUAGGCGGCUUUUUAAGUCAGAUGUGAAAGACCACAGCUUAACUGUGGGGUUGCAUUUGAAACUGGAGUGCUUGAGUAUCGGAGAGGGUAGUGGAAUUCCUGGAGUAGCGGUGAAAUGCGUAGAUAUCAGGAGGAACACCAGUGGCGAAGGCGACUACCUGGACGAAAACUGACGCUGAGGCACGAAAGCUAGGGGAGCAAAC
rnacentral:rRNA from 1 species